rnacentral:rRNA from 1 species
UACGGAGGGUGCAAGCGUUAUCCGGAUUCACUGGGUUUAAAGGGUGCGUAGGCGGGCAGGUAAGUCCGUGGUGAAAUCUCUGAGCUUAACUCAGAAACUGCCAUGGAUACUAUUUGUCUUGAAUAUUGUGGAGGUGAGCGGAAUAUGUCAUGUAGCGGUGAAAUGCUUAGAUAUGAACAUAGAACACCAAUUGCGAAGGCAGCUCACUACACAGUCAUUGACGCUGAGGCACGAAAGCGUGGGGAUCAAACAGG